GUUACACAAUAAGUGAUGAGUCGGAGUUCAACCCCACGUCUUCUGACAGUCUGGCCUUUCCACGGUACCAUCCAGUCCCUUCUCUUUGUUAAAUCAACUCUGCCAUUGCUCUGGUGUAGAGGUCAGUCUGCUCCAUUCUGCCCCCAUUUACUCCUCUGUAACCAAAGUGCACCACUGUGGCUCCUCCUCCACUAUGUUUUAUUUCAAUAUUCCCAUUGGAAUGUAAACCUAUUAAGGGAAGGGUUUCUUUUGUAUAUAUAUAGGCAUACAUGUGAUGUUUAAUAAAUGCUUUUUCAUUCA